rnacentral:lncRNA from 1 species
AGCUGCCUGGAGUAGACUGAGUGACAGCCAGUGUGUUCAGGUCUCUCCUGUGACAUCAAGAGUCUUUAGACAUCAGCUUUCUUUAGAAAAUGGUGUCUCAUGUUCUCUGCCACACCAACCCCAGUAGCAGCCAUGUGACAAGUUGCACAGACUGAGGUAUACUUCAAAAGAAGGAGGCCUCCUGGAACCAGUUGUGGAACUCUUGGCCAGAGUAUUAUAUUGAGUCAUAGUUCUCAUGGCAAUUGAUUUAUUUUGUUUUCGCUUAUUCCUUUUCUUAUUUACAUGUUCCUGGUAGCCUAGGCUAAGAUUUUAAGUGAAAGUAAUGGGUUAGAAACCAUCCCUAGAGAUGGGGUCACUAACAUGACCUUAUCUGGGGAAACCAACUCUUUACUUUUGAAAUUAUUUACAAAAUUAUAUAAUAGUAUUAUGACAGAUAAAAACUUUUCCAACAAUAAAAUUUCAUGUGGCUACAUGUGUGUUAUUGGAGGUGGGCUUUGGCAUAUGGUAAAGAAAAUCUUAAAUAAAAAGAAUUAACCUAGUUUAAAUUUAAGCACUGAAAAAAAUCAGGCAUUAGAUGUUAAAUAAUAAUUGACCAUAAAGAUUUAUUAACAUAUCUUGAACAUAUGCCAGUUGCCUUGGAUGACUGCCGCACUGCUUAGAUUCUUUUAGAGUUGUUAUACUUCAAUCAUUUCUACUCCUCAUGAUGUCACCUGUUCUGUUUGUGAUUCACUGAACCCAUCUUUACAGAGUUGUAAUGUUUUCUUGGUUUUUGUGCUUUACUGUGCAUAAUGGUAAUGAUGGUAUUUGUGAUUGCUUCACUGGACACAUCUUCAAAGUGUUGUAAUAUUUGCUCUUUUAAUGUUUAAAAACCCCUGCUUGAGAGCUGCAAAAUACAAUCAGAUUCAUACUG